AGGGUUUUACAGGGAAGCCAGGUGUGGAGGGACCUCAGGACCCAGUAGGCCUGUAUGGAAUCCACGGGCCUGUGGGCAUGCGUGGACUUCCAGGUGUGAUAGGAGAAAGGGGCGAGCCAGGUUUAAGAGGCUUACCUGGACCAGUUGGCAAGCCAGG